GUGGGGAAUCUUGCGCAAUGGGCGAAAGCCUGACGCAGCCAUGCCGCGUGAAUGAUGAAGGUCUUAGGAUUGAAAAAUUCUUUCACCGGGGACGAUAAUGACGGUACCCGGAGAAGAAGCUCCGGCUAACUUCGUGCCAGCAGCCGCGGUAAUACGAAGGGGGCUAGCGUUGCUCGGAAUUACUGGGCGUAAAGGGCGCGUAGGCGGACAGCUUAGUCAGAGGUGAAAGCCCAGGGCUCAACCUUGGAAUUGCCUUUGAUACUGGCUGUCUUGAGUUUGGGAGAGGUGAGUGGAACUCCGAGUGUAGAGGUGAAAUUCGUAGAUAUUCGGAAGAACACCAGUGGCGAAGGCGACUCACUGGCCCAAUACUGACGCUGAGGCGCGAAAGCGUGGGGAGCAAACAGGAUUAGAAACCCCUGUAGUCC
rnacentral:rRNA from 1 species